rnacentral:rRNA from 1 species
CGAACGGGGAGAUUCAUCGUCAGCGACGCUGGCUUCGCGUCGGUGGGCGAUGUCCCGCGGGGCCUCGCGGCUCGCGCGCGGACACGCUGCCGUGCGUCGAUGUCCGGCGUUCGUCGUCGUGCACUUCUCCCCUAGUAGAACGUCGCGACCCGCUGGGUGUCGGUCUACGGCCCGGGUGCGGUGGCUGACGCGUCGCCGGUAAAACGGCACGCGUCAAACCCCCGGUCGCCCGGCCGGCUGCCCGGCGGUACACGCAAGGUAUCAGGCCGCACGUUACUACAGUGCGUCGAGGCCGUCGCAAGCGCCCCGCCACGGUACACGGAGGUUAACGGACCUAGCGCCGUCACCGGUCCUGGCACGCUGUUGGUCGUACGGAUAACCUUCGACAGGCCUGCGAACGUCC